ACUGAUCUGCCGAAGUGUCCCGUCUCUGAGGUCGGGUUCAAGUGGACCCCCGUUAGAAGAUUCGCUGCCAAUUUAAGAUUUGCUCUUCAUAUAAGGUUUAAAUUGAUUUGACGUCCCCCAUAAAGCUAUUUGAUGUGACUUAUCAACUUUAUGUCAAUUCAACUCGGGGGAAACAAACUGUCCGCCCACUCUACAAGCGCGG
rnacentral:lncRNA from 1 species